rnacentral:SRP_RNA from 1 species
AGGCAAGUCUCACACGACCAGCUCCUGCUGAAUCCCCCAGGAUGGGAACAUAGCAAGGGUAGGCGGUUGUAGCGGUGCGAUGUGAGUAGCUUGCCU